rnacentral:lncRNA from 1 species
GUAGUUUUACCACAUCUGUGUGGCUACAUAAAAUAUAUUUAGUUUUGAACUUUACAUAAACAGUCUCAUUUCAUUCAUAAAAUUUCAUCAUACGUCAUUUUUCCCUUGGUGUUGUGAGAUUUCAGAUUCCUGAGACUUGCCCAUGCUGUCAUGGGCAGCAAUGAUUUAUUAAGUUUCAUUGCUGUGCAAUAUGCCAUGGUUUGUACCUACUACAUUCUAUCCAUUCUGCUGUGAAGUGUGUGUAUCCUGUGCACAUGUGUGUGGGUGUCUCCAGGAUGUGUGCAUAGGAGUAGAAUUGCUGAAUCAUGGAGAUAUGUCACCUUUACAUGAUUGUGAUUUGCGUGA